CUAGUUUUUAAUGUGUUUUUUUUUUUAUUUACCCUGCUAUUGAAUAGUUUAACCCUGUGCUUACCAACAGGCUCUCCCUUUGUAAAAUUCUUUUUUUAAAUUUGGUUUUUGAUGCUUUUAAAUGCUUUUUUAGUAUCCCUUUAUAGUUUUUUGACCAUGGGUUUACUAAACAGGUUUUGCUUUAGUUAAUUUCCCCCUUUUAAACCUUGUUUUUUAACCUACCCAGGUAUUGAAUAGUUUUACCCUGUGCUUACCAAAACAGGCUCUGCCUUUGUAAAAUUCUCUUUUUAAACCUGGUUUUUAACCUACAUUGGUAUUGAAUAUUUUAAUGUGUUUUUCUUAGCAAACUUUUUUAUGUAUAGUUUUUACCUGGCGCUUACCAAACAGGCUUUGCUGUAGUCAAUUUUCUUUUAAAACCUAGUUUUUAAUUAUUUUAAAUGCUUUUUUAGUAUCCCUUUAUAGUUUUUUGGCCAUGGGCUUACUAAACAGUCAAUUUUUCUUUUAAAAAAUGGCGGGGCUUGUGACCUAACUGUAAAUACCCUCUCUUAUUGGUCCACCGAAAGGGGGGGCUAGCUAUCUAGCCACACCGCCCCAGAACAGCUUUCAUUUCGCUACCGGCCGUGGUAGGGGUAGGAUGUGUUCAGUAAAACAAACAAACAAACGCUGCUUUCUUUUACACCUAAGAUCCCUUUAUAGUACUAAACGGGGUUUCUUUUAAAGUUCUAUGCUUUCAAAUUUGCCUCUUUACACUCUUCGUUCAUGUCACCAAGCACCAACGUACACGACACUCCCCCUCAUCUCUCUUCUUUCAAACUAACUAACCUUUUAAAAAGAAAAAUCUUCUUUCCAAUUUUCCUUUUUUCCUCUAAACCUCUUUCAACCUUUUUCUCUUCAUGUCACCAAGCACCAACCCUUCCCCUAGUCAAACACACGCACACAACCAUUUUUUCAAAAUGGCCGACGGCGCCAACGGAAAUGGCGGGUGGGAAGGCGGGACAUAAGCCCUAAAAGGGGCGUGGAAACCUGUCAAAAUUUGUAUGGUGAUGAAUGCUAUCGAGGCUAUUACUACUAAC